rnacentral:tRNA from 1 species
GGGGAGGUGGCAGAGCGGUCGAAUGCGGCGGUCUUGAAAACCGUUGGGCGUGCAAGCGCCCCCGGGGUUCGAAUCCCCGUCUCCCCGCCA